GUGAAGGCAGGCAAGGGGGCUGGAGGAAAAGGAAGGGUGGGUUCAGGAAGCACUGAGAAGGCGAGCUGACCUGGAUGACAGAUGGAUGGGGCAGUGGAGAGGGGGGCUUUUCUGGAGGCAGAACUCAGAAGGAGUUUGGGGUGCAAGAUGCUUGUUAGGGGCCAACCUCUGUGGAAAGCUGAGGGAGGCUGCAGGAUGGCCAGAGGGGAGAAGUGGGACUGUGUGAAGCCUCACACACCCCAGCCUGGGGGGAGCCCCCCUUCAGUGUCCCCCUUGUUCCCUCGUCCCUCUCUCCUCACUCUCUCAGCUGCCCCAGAAGCAUGGCCUCCAGCCAAGCAGCCCCUGCAGCUCAGCCAAAGGAGUGGGCCAUGGAGAGGGCCUGCAGCCGCACUCCGCAGGGGCAGGAGGCCUCUGUGGAGGAGCUCAGGCAGGGCCCUCUGCAUCUCCCGCGUAGAGGGGUGCAGAGCAAAGGCCCUCUUCUGACUUGGACGGUGAGGCUGAGUGAGUCUCAUCCGUCAGGAUGAGGAGCAUAGGUGGCCGGAGGGGAGAGGAGGGUUCUGAAGGCAGGUGAGCGCUGGCACAUCCACGGAGAGCUGUCCAGUGCUGAGGGGCAGGCAGGGCUGGAGUUUGGAACCUGAAAGUCAUCGGGUGCCUGUGACGUUGAGCCAUUCAGUGGCUGGUGCACACUUAGGAAGGAAGAGCCAGCAACAGGGACGGAUCCCUAGGACACGCCAGACCUCCCAGACGGGAGCUAAGAAGAGCUGGUCAGGAGUGGGAGGACACAUACGGAAACCUGGUCUGGUGGAUGCCGUGUGUCUUAGUCAGCUCAGGCAGCUUUAACACGACACCACAAUGGGCAGCUUUAACAACAGACAACUAUUUCUCACAGUGCUGGAGACUGGAAGUCCUUGAUCAAGGCUCCAGAAGAUUUGAUGUCUGGUGAGAACUGACUUCCUAGUUCAUGGAUGUGGCCUCACAUGGUUGAAGGAGUGGGGAGCUCUCUGGGGUCCCUUUUAUAAGGGUCUUAAUCCCAUUUAUGAAUGCUCAUCUUCAUGACCUGCUCACCUCCUAAAGGACCCCCCUCCAAAUACCAACACAUUGGGGGUUAGGUUUCAGCAUAAGAAUUUUGGGGGACAAACGUUUGUUUCAAGAGAAAGUCAGUGACAGUUAACAAGGGCAGUGGUGGCAAUCAUAAUACUUUGAUUGACCAUCUUCAUGUGCCAAACAAUGCACACCCAUCAUUCCCGCAGAUCCCAUGACCUGGGAGAUGGAGUUUACAGCCCGUUCUGCCCAGAAAGAAACCAAGGAUCAGAGGGCUUACAAAAGGUGCCAGGGCCACACAGGGUUAGUAACUGGCUGGGCUGUCUGACUCCGAAUCCACGUUUAUGACCACGGCAUCACCCAGCUCAGAGAGCUUAAGUCAGGAACACACUGAGAAUCACCUUUGGAGGCGGUGAUUAUCCAUCACUACACCUUAGCAGCGAGAAUGGAGAGGGAACCACUUAGGUCACAGGAUGGCCUCAACCAAAUGAGAAAAUGGAUGAAAAAGUCAUGCUUUCCAGAAGUUGGAAUGAAAUGAAAGAGAAGAUGCAGGGUGAUGGCUGGAAGCACAGCACAGGAGAGAGCAGGUGAUGGAAGGCGAGGGUGUUUAGGGUAAGACGGAGAACAGAACGGGAGAAACAGAGAUCCAGGAAAGAGGGAGGGUCGAGUAUGGGUGGAGCUACUGCCCUGGAGCGAGGUGGAGACAGGGAGGAAUUGGGGAGCAGAUCAUUUGGGGUUGGACAGGAAACAGGCGGUUCCAGGAAAGAGACCUUAAUGAACAAACACGUUCAGAGAUGGGGUUAAGGGAUUCCAAAGGCUGGUGACACACAGGGAUUCCUAACAGCCAGAAGCCAUUCCCACACUUAGGGCUGAAGGCAGUUGAAUCUGGGGAGCCGGUGGAAUUCCAGCUGGAGUCUUGGAAUGGGGGCUGCCAGGGACAGCUGUAGUCUGGGAGGAACAAAGUUGCUGACAGAGAAGUAGAACCAGUGAUGAAGAGGGAAAGGGAAGAAAUACCCCAGCUUCUCUCUCCCCGCUCUCUGAUCUCCUACUUGUGCCUCCCAUGGGCCAAACCGAUGGGAAGCCAGAGGUCCAGGGAGCCUGGUGAUGAGGAGGGAGGGGGCAGCCUCCCAGGCACAGAGCCGGUUGGGCAAGGUUGUGCUUAAAAAGUGAGAGGGGUCCACUUAAGUAAGGAAUUUGAGUUGAGGGGGAAUGUUUAGAAUGCCUGCCAAGGGGAAAAGAGGAUGCUGCUGACGAGCAAGGAAGUGCAAAGGCAUUGGCAUUAUGAACCCACCACGACUCUGUGCGGCCCUGGAGAGCACAGGUGUGUUUCUCUAGGAGUGUUCAUCAGACUACUUAUGAGCUGGCGGAAAGUGAAUUAUUAGGUGGAGGGUUCAUGGGAGGCUGCAGGCAGGGGAGGGAAGAGGAGAAGGGGCCCAACAGGAGCAGGUGAUGGGCUGUGGGGAGAGGAACGGCAGAGAUGGAAGUGGCUGCUGAAGGAGGAUCAGAUGUGGGCGUGGAGGUCUUGAGGUCCUGGGGAGGUGGCAGCCUGAAUCGUUUGGGAUGCACAUUCAAGGGAAAUGGCAGGGAAGGCCCCUGAUGGUGUCCCCGAGGCAUAGGUGGGGAGGGGGGCCUCAGUUUCACUGAAGCCAGAGAUUGGGUCAUCCUAGCAGGAGGCUGGGGAUGGAAGGGAGCUCAUUAGCCACGACAACGUGGGAAGGAGUGAGCUAGCCGGGCAUAGAAAAAGAGAGAAUGAGAGCACAGGACAUUUAGAAGGGAAGAAACAGGAGCCACACCCUACAGCUGAUGUGGAGAGAGAGCACAGAGGCAUCAAUAUGCAGGCGGCUGGUACCCAGAAGGGCCUUUGCUGUCUCAGAGGCACUUAGCGAGGCUGAGACCACAAAACCUGUAUGUUUUCGAAUGCAGCUACCAGCAGCCAUGCUGUGCGCAGUGGUUCUCAGAUUCGAGGACCCCUGGCGGACUUGUCAUAACACAGAUCGCUGGCUCCACCUGGAGUUUCUGACUCAGUGGAUGUGGGCGGCUCCCGGGUGGCCACGAUGCUGCCCAGUUGUAGACACAGCCUGCUGACCACUCGGCAGCUGUGCCAGCUGAUGAUCCCACCCUGAAAACUAAACGCUGGACACGCUCCCACUGCAAGACACAACAGACUGAAAUGGUUCCAUCUGCUGCUACCUGGGGACAGCCAGAUGGUUGACCUCAAGAGGUGAGAGGGCUGGGAGACAAAAUCCUGGCAAAUUCCCAGCACAGUGUCUUCGUGGGGCUCAGGAGAAGCCUUGGAGAACUUCGCAGCAUGACAUCCCUUUUCAGUGGAGUUCCCGAUGCUGGCUGCAGACACUGGAAACCCCAAGAACCUCCUACUCAAGGAAGUCGGACGUUUAAACCAAGAACCCCAAAAUAAUAAUAGUGGCUAAAAAGACGUGUCAGGUAGUUUUCUAAGUCCUUUAAAUGUGCUUUCACCUUCAUAAGUGCCCUAACGAUGUAGGCACUAUCAUUGCCUCUGUUUUAUAGGUGGGGAAACUGAGGCACAGAGGGGUUAAGUAAUAGGUUCACAGUCACAGGCUAGUUAGGACAGAGCCAGGCUUUGCCUUCAGCCCCACUCACCGGCCAGGCUGUUGACGACUGACCCUACAGGAACCCAAGGACGAAGGAGUGAAGGUCAGGGGCUGGCAUAGGAGUCUUGCUUGAACAUCUGUUUAAAAGUUGUGGGACCCCAGGGGCUGGCCCCGUGGUGUGAUGGUUAAGUUUGGCACUCUCCACUUCGGCAGCCCAGGUUCGCAGGUUUGGAUCCCAGGCGCAGACCUACACCACUCAUCAGCCAUGUUAUGGUGUCAACCCACAUACAAAAUGGAGGAAGACUGGCACAGAUGACAGAUCACGGCUAAUCUUCCUCAGCAAAAAGAGGAGGAUUGGCGACAGAUGUUAGCUCAGGGCCCAUCUUCCUCAACAACAAUAACAAAAUGUAGUAGGGCCCCAGAUCCCCUUCCCAAGCCUGCACGUCCAAGCUACAGUUUGCUGCCUGCCUGCAGAAAACAGGCUGGUUUUGUUCUGGAGUAGGUGGGAGGGAGGCAUCUGUCCUGGGACCCCAGCACCACUAAGAGUGAGGGCACCCUGGGAGAAGGGUCUGGCAAAGGCGCCCGUAAUGAGUCCACCACAAAGGCCUGCUGCUCCUCCCCACCCUGCCCCAUCCUGGCUGGAUGGCGCUGGCUUCUUCCCUGGGAACUGAGCAGCCCAAGCACACAAUGCUGACAGGUCACUGUGUGGCGGGCUGAACACUGACACCUGCAGUGCACCACCCCACUGGGUGCUGGACACAGGCAGACAGGCAGAGAGCACAAGACACCUGGGGAAACUUCUAACGUGAACUAUAGAGAUCGAAACAAGCAGAAAAAAAGCCACUUGGAGGAAAGAGACUAUGAAGAGAGAAGAAAACACAAAAGACAAAAACUACUAAAAAUUGGCUCAGAAAGAUACAAUUUGCAUCUGCGAAACAAGACAAGAUGCCAAAAAAGAAAGAAAGGGAGGGAGGAAAGGAAAAGAAAAUAACAUUAAAAGAAUAAAAAGAAACUUUUGAUAAAUAAAACCUGAGAGGAAUUUAAAAAUCAAUUCCAUAGAAGGGUAUGAAUGAUUUAUUGGACAAGAAAAUUGAGGAAAUCUAGACAUCAAAGCAAAAUUGCAAAGUUAUGGAAAAUAGGAGGGAAAAAAUAAGACAUUAGACGACCAGACCAGAGGAUCCAUCAUCCAAAUUAUAGGAGCUGCAGGAAGGAAAGAGGAAGGGAGGAGGGGAGGAAGCAAUCAAUGAAACAAUGCAGCAAAGUGUCCCAGACUGACCAGGUGCCCAACACAGUCAGAGAAGGCACUUGAAGAUUUGGAGAUCAAGAGGCCAUUUUGUGUGGGAAAACCUCAGCAGGAAAGAGAGAGAGUGAGAAGCAGGUCACAUAUAAAGGGUCAGGAGCCAGGAACACUGGAAGCUAGACUUCUCCAGAGCAAUGCCCUCAAAAUUGUGACGGGAAAGGAUUUCCAACCUAGACUUUUAUACUCAGCCAAACAGUCAACUAAGGGUGAAGGCAGAACAAAGAUGGCUUGAGAUAUUCACAGUCUCAAAAACUUCUCAUCUUUUCUCAGGAGCUACUGUGAGAUGUGCUCCCCCUACCCUACAGGGCGUACACCUAAAAGAGGAUGGCAUGGGCUGCAGGAAACUGGACCCAACCCAAGAUCGAGGGAAGAGGAAAGUUCAGGAUGGUGGUCCCAAGAUGGCCCUGCAGGAGCAGGCAGAGAGGACAUCUCAGGAAUGUGACAUUGGACUCCUGGUGGGCCCGACAGGUUCUACUUAUAAGUCCAAAGGAUACUAAGCAAAGAAAAAGGCAACCUUCCAACUCCAAGGACUAUAAGGAAUUGGGGCAGGACAGGAAGAAUGAAUUCAGCACACUAUGUGGCUCAGUUCUCUGUGACAUUUGCUCAAUCAGAAUAAUGUAAAUACUGAAUGUUAAUCUAACCCAAACAUACUCUAACGUGCUGGGAGAAUUGACGGCUCGGAGGCGCAUGGUGGCAUGGAUGUAUUAUAGACUCCUAAGAGCCAAUUGAUUCCAAGGAAUAAUCGAAACUCAUUGCUGCUGGGCUGUGGGACAUAGGAAGAGAAAGGCCGGGAGGGGAUGUUGCCUGUCUCCUGAUGUGCCUCGGAGAACUGGGGGACCCUCCAGAUGAUGUGCACACGGAACUUCAGCCUGAGGUGUGUAGAUCGAGCGUUGCAAUCAGAAACCCCACCAGGAAAACAUUUUAUUCUCCCUUAAGCCUCUGAUUUUUGACAAUUUUGUAUCUUUGUGGUUCCACCAGGAGGAACUGGCUGCAAAAUGUAUUUCAGGUAUCUAAGUGGAUUGACCUGCUGGAUUAAAUUUCUUAAGGUUGUUGGUCUGCAUGGUGGGAAACUGCCAUGAUUGACAGCUGGUCUCACCCCUUCACACUGAGUGGUCCUGCCAGUCCGCAGACCUUCAGUUUGACUGAUCUUUGGCCACUUCUGCUGGCAGCGAU
rnacentral:lncRNA from 1 species